CAGCCGCCGCGGUAAUACGUAGGGUGCAAGCGUUAAUCGGAAUUACUGGGCGUAAAGCGUGCGCAGGCGGUUAUAUAAGACAGAUGUGAAAUCCCCGGGCUCAACCUGGGAACUGCAUUUGUGACUGUAUAGCUAGAGUACGGCAGAGGGGGAUGGAAUUCCGCGUGUAUCAGUGAAAUGCGUAGAUAUGCGGAGGAACACCGAUGGCGAAGGCAAUCCCCUGGGCCUGCACUGACGCUCAUGCACGAAAGCGUGGGGAGCAAACAGGAUUAGAGACCCCCGUAGUCCCUGUCUCUUAUAC
rnacentral:rRNA from 1 species